CAACAAAUAAUUUAAAAAAAAAUAUUAGUUUUGGGUAUUAAAAAUAUAGAAAUUUCUAUUUUGUUGA
rnacentral:tRNA from 1 species